CCUACGGGAGGCAGCAGUAAGGAAUAUUGGUCAAUGGAGGCAACUCUGAACCAGCCAUGCCGCGUGCAGGAAGACAGCCCUAUGGGUCGUAAACUGCUUUUAUACGGGAAUAAACUUUGAUUCGUGAAUCAAGCUGAAUGUACCGUAAGAAUAAGGAUCGGCUAACUCCGUGCCAGCAGCCGCGGUAAUACGGAGGAUCCAAGCGUUAUCCGGAUUUAUUGGGUUUAAAGGGAGCGUAGGCGGCCUAUUAAGUCAGGGGUNAAAGACGGUGGCUCAACCAUCGCAGUGCCUUUGAUACUGAUGGGCUUGAAUAUAGUUGAGGUAGGCGGAAUGUGACAAGUAGCGGUGAAAUGCAUAGAUAUGUCACAGAACACCGAUUGCGAAGGCAGCUUACUAAGCUAUGAUUGACGCUGAGGCUCGAAAGCGUGGGGAUCAAACAGGAUUAGAUACCCUGGUAGUCCACGCCCUAAACGAUGAUAACUCGAUGUUGGCCGAUAUANAGCAGCGUCCACGACGAAGACGUAGUUAGUCACCGACGGAGGUACGCCCGACCGAGGUAGGAAACGUACGAAAGAAGUAGUAGACGACGAGACGACGACGACGGACGGACGACGAGGAGGAGGAG
rnacentral:rRNA from 1 species